CCUACGUGCGGCAGCAGUGAGGAAUAUUGGUCAAUGGACGGAAGUCUGAACCAGCCAUGCCGCGUGCAGGAAGACGGCUCUAUGAGUUGUAAACUUCUUUUAUAAAGGAAUAAAACGAGGCACGUGUGCCUUUUUGCAUGUACUUUAUGAAUAAGGAUCGGCUAACUCCGUGCCAGCAGCCGCGGUAAUACGGAGGAUCCGAGCGUUAUCCGGAUUUAUUGGGUUUAAAGGGAGCGUAGAUGGGUUGUUAAGUCAGUUGUGAAAGUUUGCGGCUCAACCGUAAAAUUGCAAUUGAUACUGGCAGUCUUGAGUACAGUUGAGGUAGGCGGAAUUCGUGGUGUAGCGGUGAAAUGCUUAGAUAUCACGAAGAACCCCGAUUGCGAAGGCAGCUUACUAAACUGUGACUGACAUUGAUGCUCGAAAGUGUGGGUAUCAAACAGGAUUAGAUACCCUGGUAGUC
rnacentral:rRNA from 1 species